rnacentral:rRNA from 1 species
AGAGUUUGAUCCUGGCUCAGGACGAACGCUGGCGGCGUGCCUAACACAUGCAAGUCGAACGGGGUGAGGCCCUUCGGGACCUUUACCUAGUGGCGAACGGGUGAGUAACGCGUGAGGAACCUGCCUUUCAGUGGGGGACAACAGUUGGAAACGACUGCUAAUACCGCAUGAAGCUUUUGGGAGACAUCUCCUGGAAGCCAAAGCUUAAUGUGCUGAAAGAUGGCCUCGCGUCUGAUUAGCUAGUUGGUGGGGUAACGGCCCACCAAGGCGACGAUCAGUAGCCGGUCUGAGAGGAUGAACGGCCACAUUGGGACUGAGAUACGGCCCAGACUCCUACGGGAGGCAGCAGUGGGGAAUAUUGGGCAAUGGGCGAAAGCCUGACCCAGCAACGCCGCGUGAAGGAAGAAGGCCUUCGGGUUGUAAACUUCUUUUACCAGGGACGAAGGACGUGACGGUACCUGGAGAAAAAGCAACGGCUAACUACGUGCCAGCAGCCGCGGUAAUACGUAGGUUGCAAGCGUUGUCCGGAUUUACUGGGUGUAAAGGGCGUGUAGGCGGAGAUGCAAGUUAGGAGUGAAAUCUAUGGGCUCAACCCAUAAACUGCUUCUAAAACUGUAUCCCUUGAGUAUCGGAGAGGCAAGCGGAAUUCCUAGUGUAGCGGUGAAAUGCGUAGAUAUUAGGAGGAACACCAGUGGCGAAGGCGGCUUGCUGGACGACAACUGACGCUGAGGCGCGAAAGCGUGGGGAGCAAACAGGAUUAGAUACCCUGGUAGUCCACGCUGUAAACGAUGAAUACUAGGUGUGGGGGGACUGACCCCCUCCGUGCCGCAGUUAACACAAUAAGUAUUCCACCUGGGGAGUACGACCGCAAGGUUGAAACUCAAAGGAAUUGACGGGGGCCCGCACAAGCAGUGGAUUAUGUGGUUUAAUUCGACGCGACGCGAAGAACCUUACCAGGACUUGACAUCCAACUAACGAAGUAGAGAUACAUCAGGUGCCCUUCGGGGAAAGUUGAGACAGGUGGUGCAUGGUUGUCGUCAGCUCGUGUCGUGAGAUGUUGGGUUAAGUCCCGCAACGAGCGCAACCCCUAUUGUUAGUUGCUACGAAAGAGCACUCUAGCGAGACUGCCGUUGACAAAACGGAGGAAGGCGGGGACGACGUCAAAUCAUCAUGCCCCUUAUGUCCUGGGCUACACACGUAAUACAAUGGUGGCCAACAGAGGGAAGCGAAGCCGUGAGGCAGAGCAAAUCCCUAAAAGCCAUCUCAGUUCGGAUUGCAGGCUGCAACUCGCCUGCAUGAAGCUGGAAUUGCUAGUAAUCGCGGAUCAGCAUGCCGCGGUGAAUACGUUCCCGGGCCUUGUACACACCGCCCGUCACACCAUGAGAGUCGGGAACACCCGAAGUCCGUAGUCUAACCGCAGGGGGGCGCGGCCGAAGGUGGGUCCGGUAAUUGGGGUGAAGUCGUAACAAGGUA